CCUCCGGUGCAGCGUAUGUUCGGUUGGGUCUCAGGAUCCCCCUUAUGCAGCUUCAUCCAGGAUUUGGCAAUGACAUCGUGACUUCCAUGUUGCAUGGUGAGUAAUUCCGCACCGCUUCUGGCCCCUGUGUGUGUGCCUGGUGUUCUCAGACUUAGGUAUUUGGUUCACAUCGGGAGAGAGCCUGAGCUAGGGUUAGGUUUCGGUCUAGUGACGUCACCAGGGCCAAAGCAACACCAGUCCUGUGAUUGCCCUGGAGGGCUUAACUGAGGGCCCAUGUGCAGGUGUUGGUCAGGUGUAGGGUUAGGUUGGGAGUUAGGGUGAGGGUUUGGUGGUGGGUUUUUGUGAGGGUACCGUUAGCGUUAUGUCCCAGGAGGCUCCAGGCACUGAACCCCCUGCAGUGCUGUGGUCUCCCGAAGGCUGAGUGGAGGGCACAUGGGAGGGUGCCACUCAGGCGUAGUCUUUGAGUGCCAGGGCCAGCCUCCUGUAUGGGCCACUCUUUGGUUGUUCCUCAGUACCCUCCCUUAUAUGGCUGCAUCCGGGCUUUGGCAAUGACAUGGUGACAUUUCAUGUUCCAUGCCGAGUAAUACCCACUGCUUCUGGCCCUUGUGUGCCUGGCAUUCUCAGACUUAGGAAUUGGGUCCCCAUUGGGAGAGAGCCUGAGCUAGGGUUAGGGUUCGUCUCAGGGAUGUUGCCAGUACCGAUGGGAUACCAGUCCUGUGAUCUUCCUGGAGGCCGAAAUGAGGUCCCAUGCAUGGGUGUGGGUUAAGUGUAGGGUAAGGGUGGGAGUUAGGGUGACGUUUUGGUGGAGGUUUAUAAAAUGUGGGAUUCACUGCAAAAGAAAGAACAGGAAGAAAUGAUAGGGUCGUAAUCAGCACAGAUAUAAGCAAGAUGUCUGAACUAGAAUUUAGAACCACAAUAAUAGGAGUACUAACUGGUGUGGAAAAAAUUAUAAAAUCCAUUUCUUCAGAGAUAGAAGAAAUAAAAUCUGUUCAGGAUGAAAUUAAAAAUGCUAAAACUCUCACACAAUAUCGAAUGGAUGCCAUAAUGGCAUUGAUGGACAAAGCAGAGCAGUGAAUCAGCAAUAUAGAAGAUAAAAUAAUCAGAAUAAUGAAGCAGAAAAAAGGAGGGAAACUGGCAAAAGAGCAUGAUACAAGAAGUAGAGAACUCAGUGACUUAAAAGAAAAAAAGGAAUAACAUCUGAAAAAUAGGAGUGCCAGAAGAGGAAGACAGAGAAAAAGGGGCAGAAGGUUUAUGUGAACAAAUUAUAGUGGUAAACUUUCAUAAUGUGGAGAAUGACACAGACAUCAAAAUCUGAGAAGCACAGAGAACUCCCAUUAGUUUGAACAGAAAACGACAAUUGCCAAGGCAUAUUAUAGUCAAAUUCAUAAAUACAGACAAGGAAAGAAUUAUGAAAGCAGCAAGAGAAAAAAUGUCCUUAAUGUACAAGGGAAGUCAGAUCAGGUUUGCAGCGAACCUGUAAACAGAAACUUGACAGGUCAGAAAGGAGUCACAAGAUAUAUUCAGUGUGCUGAAUCAGUGAAAUAUGCAGCCAGAAUUCUUUAUCUAGCAAGGCUGUCAUUCAAAAUAGAAGGAGAGAUAAAGAGUUUGCUAGACAUUCAAAAAGUAAAGGAGUUCACAGCCACUAAACCAGCCCUACUAGAAAUUUUAAGUGGGAAUCUUUGGAGAAAAGACAAAACAAAACAGAAAAGACCAAAAGCAACAAAGAUUAGAAAGGACCAGACAACAUCAUCAGAAACCACAAAUCUACAGGCAACACAAUGGUACAAAAUUCAUAUCUUUCAGUACUCAAUCUAAAUAAAUGCCAAUGGACUAAGCAAUCAAAAGACAUAGGGCAUCACAAAGGAUAAGAAAAAAAGAUCUAUCUAUAUGCUGCUUACAAGAGACUCAUUGUAGACCUAAAGAUACAUGCAAAUUGAAAAUAAAGGGAUGGAGAAUCAUCUAUAAUGCUAAUGGUUGCCAAAAGAAAGCUGGAGUAGCCAUACUUAUACCAGGCAAAUUAGGUUUUAAAAUAAAGACUGUAACAAGAGAUGAGGAAGGUCAUUGUAUCAUAAUUAAAGGGUCUAUCCACCAAGAAGAUCUAUAAUUGUAUACAUUUGUGCCCCCAAUGUGAUGGAACUCAAGUAUAUAAAUCAACUAAUUAAUCACAAACAUAAGAAGAAAAAUGUCAAAUACACAAUGCAACCUUACACCUAAAGGAGAUGGAAAAAGAAUAGCAAAUAAAGCCCAAACAGGCAGAAGAAGGUAAUAAUAAUAUUAGGGCAGAAUUCAAUGAUAUCGAAAUCAAAAAACAAACAAACCAGCAAAAAACAAAACAGUAGAACAGUUCAAUAAAACCAGGAGCUGUUUUUUUGAAAUAAUUAACAAAAUUGAUAACCCCCUAGCCAGAUUGAUCAAAAAUAAAAAGGAAAUGAUCCAAAUAAUUAAAAUCAUGAAUGAAAGAGGAGAUACCACAGCCAACAUCACAGAAAUACAAACAAUAAGAAGACCAUACUAUGAGCAAUUAUAUGCCAACAAAUUGGGCAAUCAGGAAGAAAUGGACAUAUUCCUAGAAACAUAUAAAUUACUGAAACUGAAACAGGAGGAAAUGGAAGCUUUGAAGAGAUCCAAAACCACUGAAGAAAUUGAAUGAGCAAUCAAAAACCUCCCAACAAAGAGUCCAUGGCCAGAUGGCUUUCCAGAGGAAUUCUACCAAACAUUUAAAGAAGAGUUACCACCUAUUCUUUUGAAGCAGUUCUAACAAAUAGAAAUGGAUGGAAAACUUCCAAACUCAUUCUAUGAGUCCAGCAUUACCUUCAAUCCAAAACCAAAGACUGCGCUACAAAGGAGAACUACAGACCAAUUUCCCUGAUGAAGCUUGAUCGAAAAAUUCUUAACAAGAUACUAGGCAACUGGAUCAAGCAAUACAUUAAAAGAACUAUUCAUCACGAUCAAGUGGGAUUUAUUCCUAGGAUGCAGGGCUGAUUCAAUAUCCACAAAUUAACCAAUGUGAUUCAUCACAUUAGUAAAAGGAUACAAUCCACAUGAUCCUCUCAAUAGAUGUAGAAAAAGCAUUUGACAAAAUACAGCAUCCUUUCUUGAUAAAUACCCUCAAGAAAGAAGGGAUAGAAGGAUCAUACCUCAAGAUCAUAAAGGCCGUAUAAGAAAGACCCACAGCUAAUAUCCUCAAUGGGGGAAGACUGAGAGCUUUCUCUCUAAGGUCUGGGCUACAGCAAGGAUGUCCAUUCUCACCACUAUUAUACAACAUAGUAUUGGAGGUCCUAGCCUCAGCAACAAGACAAUACAAAGAAAUAAAAGGCAUCCAAAUCAGCAGGGAGGAAGUCAGACUUUCAGUGUUCAUAGAUGACAUGGUACUCUAUGUGGGAAACACAAAAAUCUCCACCAAAAAACUGCUAGGACUGAUACAUGAAUUCAGCCAAGUCGCAGGAUACAAAAUCAGUAUUCAGAAAUCAGUUGCAUUUUUAUACACCAAUAAUGAAGCAGCAGAAAGAGAAAUCAAGGAAUCGAUCUCAUUUACAAUUGCACCAAACACCAUAAAAUACCUAGGGAUAAAUCUAACCAAAGGGGUGAAAAAUCUGUAAACUGAAAACUAUAGAAAGUGCAUGAAAGAAAUUGAGGAAGACACAGAAAAAUGGAAAAACAUUCCAUGCUCGUGGAUAGGAAGAACAUAUUGUUAAGAUGUCGAUACUACCUAAAUCAAUCUACAUAUUCAAUGCAGUCCCUAUCAAAAUAACACCAGUAUUCUUCGCAGAGCUAGAACAAACAUUCCUAAAAUUUGUAUGGAAUCAGAAGAGACCCCAAAUAGCCAAAGCAAUCCUGAAAAAGAAAACAUAGGCUGGAGGUAUCACAAUUCCAGACUUCAAGCUGUGUUACAAAGUUGUAAUCAUCAAGACAGUAUGGUACUGGCACAAAAACAGACGCUUAGAUCAAUUGAACAGAAUAGAGAACCCAGAAAUGGACCCACAAACCUAUGGCCAGCUAAUCUUUGACAAAGCAAUAAAGAAUAUGUAGUAGAAAAGACAGUUUCUUCAGCAAAUGGUACUGGGAAAACUGGACAGCGACAUGCAGAAGACUGAAUGUGGACCACUUUCUUACACCAUACACAAAAGCAAACUCAAAAUGGAUGAAAGACCUAAACAUGAGGUGGGAAGCCACCAAAAUCCUAGAGGAGAAAACAGGCAACAACCUCUUUGACCUCGGCCGCAUCAACUUCUUACUUGCCAUGUCUUCAGAGGCAAGAGAAACAAAAGCAAAAAUGAACUCUUGGGACCUCAUCAGGAUAAAAAGCUUCUGCACAGCAGAGGAAACAAUCAGCAAGCUAAAAGGCAAUCAAUGGAUUGGUAGAAGAUAUUUCCAAAUGACAUAUCAGAUAAAGGGUUAGUACCCAAAAAUCUAUAAAGAACUUACCAAACUCAACACCUAAAAAGCAAAUAAUCCAGUGAAGAAAAGGGCAAAAGACAUGAAAGAUACUUUUCCAAAGAAGACAUCCAGAUGUCUAACAGACACAUGAAAAGAUGCUCAACAUGACUCAUCAUGAGGGAAAUACAAAUCAAAACCACAAUGAGAUACUCCCUCUCAUCUGUCAGAACAGAUAAAAUUAACAACUCAGGCAAUGACAUGUUGAUGAGGAUGUGGAGAAAGACAAACCCUUUUGCACUGCUGGUGGGAAUGCAAACUGGUGCAGUCACACUGGAAAAGAAUAUGAAGGUUCCUCAAAAAAAUUAAAAAUAGAAGUACACUAUGACCCAGAAAUUCACUACUAGGUAUUUAUCCAAAGGUUACAGGACUGCUGAUUCAAAGGGGAACAUGACCCCAAUGUUUAGCAGCACUAUCAACAAUAGCCAAAGUAUGAAAAGAGCCCAAAUGUCUAUUGACUAAUGAAUGGAUAAAGAAGAUGUGGUAUAUAUAUACAAUGGAAUAUUACUCAUCAA